rnacentral:tRNA from 1 species
GCCCACGUAGCUCAGUCGGCAGAGCGCGUUCUUGGUAAGAACGAGGUCAUGGGUUCAAAUCCCAUCGUGGGCUC